rnacentral:rRNA from 1 species
GAUGAACGCUGGCGGCGUGCCUAAUACAUGCAAGUAGAACGCUGAAGCUUGGUGCUUGCACCGAGCGGAUGAGUUGCGAACGGGUGAGUAACGCGUAGGUAACCUGCCUGGUAGCGGGGGAUAACUAUUGGAAACGAUAGCUAAUACCGCAUAACAGUCGACAUUGCAUGAUGUUGAUUUGAAAGGGGCAAAUGCUCCACUACCAGAUGGACCUGCGUUGUAUUAGCUAGUUGGUGAGGUAACGGCUCACCAAGGCGACGAUACAUAGCCGACCUGAGAGGGUGAUCGGCCACACUGGGACUGAGACACGGCCCAGACUCCUACGGGAGGCAGCAGUAGGGAAUCUUCGGCAAUGGACGGAAGUCUGACCGAGCAACGCCGCGUGAGUGAAGAAGGUUUUCGGAUCGUAAAUGCUCUGUUGUAAGAGAAGAACGAAUGUGAUGAUGUGGAUUUAUUCACAC